CGAGAUCUUAACAUCCCAUCUCCCCUGUUCCCAGCCGAAGCAGUCCUCCGGAUUAGCUUUGAUCCUCCCAGAUUCUCUCGUUCGGGAUCAACUCCAUUUUCAUCCCAACGUCCGUGAGUUUCUCCCAUGCUUCCGGAUCAUCUCCCAGCCGUCCUAGAUCCCGUUCAGAAUCCAAACUCCCACAUCUCCGUAUUCAUCCUCAUCCUCCCGAAUCAUCUGAUCGAGCUUCAUCUCCCAGCUCAUCUUAUCUUCAUCUUCUGAAUCAAGCUCAUCCCAAGUUCACGAGCUCAUCCUCCCAAGGAAUAGAGCUGUCAUCCCAUCCGAAUCCAUCCCAGAUUUUCUUCCGUUCGGAUUACAUCCUUAUCCCCUGCUUCGGAUAAGUCUCAAACUCCCUCCCAUUCUUUAUUCUCCCGAGCUUCACGGCAUCCCCUGCAUCCAAUAGAUUCAUCUUCAUCUCAUUCUUCAUCCGCAUGAAGCCAGCUUCAACCACCAACGGAUAGCUCCUAGCUCAUCUUUACUUCAUCCCAUUGUGAUCCAUCCUUAUCCACGAAUUCGAUCAAUGGUAUCAUCACCAAACUCCCAGCUGGAUGAGCAUCCCAUCUUUCUCCGCUAGAUUCCACGCUUAUCCCGUUCGUGAUCAUCAGCAUCCUUAUCAUCUUCCGCAUCUCUUGCUCCCAAUCUUCUUCACGGAUCAGCUGCCCAUCCGGGUAUCCCGUAGCCAGCCGGGAGGAGCAUCCACAAACUUCCCAACAAAUUCCAUUAUCCACGAACGGCUUCACGCGUCUUCUCCUUUGAUCCGAACCACAGCAGUCCAGCGAAUCAGGCCAAGCAUCAUCCAACGGCAAAGGGUUCAUCCUUAUCCAUGAUUC
rnacentral:lncRNA from 1 species